GAUGAAGAACGCAGCGAAAUGCGAUAAGUAAUGUGAAUUGCAGAAUUCAGUGAAUCAUCGAAUCUUUGAACGCACAUUGCGCCCGCCAGUAUUCUGGCGGGCAUGCCUGUUCGAGCGUCAUUUCAACCAUCAAGCCCCCGGCUUGUGUUGGGGACCUGCGGCUGCCGCAGGCCCUGAAAACCAGUGGCGGGCUCGCUAGUCACUCCGAGCGUAGUAAUACAUCUCGCUCAGGGCGUGCUGCGGGUUCCGGGCGUUAAAAAAGCCUUAUUUACCCAAGGUUGACCUCGGAUCAGGUAGGAAGACCCGCUGAACUUAAGCAUAUCAAUAAGCGGAGGA
rnacentral:misc_RNA from 1 species